ensembl:snRNA U6 U6 spliceosomal RNA
GUGCUCACCUCUGGCACAUAUACUAAAAUUAGAACCAUACAGAGAAGACUAGCAUGGCUCCUGUGUAAGGAUGACAGGCAAGUUUGUGAAGCAUUCCAUAUUUUU